UAAAGGUUGGCAGGCACUCUCGGGAUCAUCGAUUCCAGUCCCUGUCAGUCAGAUGCCUAAAUCGCUGAGGUACCUAUCCAACAGCAUUAAAGAAAUACGCUUUUAAUGGACAGAUGUUGGACUUCUAAAAAUCGAUCCACCCCAGGGGAAAAAAUAAACAGUAUUUGGGGUUCCCUGUGGACAAGGAGCAACAUUUGAUGGAAGCUCAGGAAGGCGCAAACAAAUCCAGUCCAUGCAAACAAAGUCUUUAAUGAAAUAAGGUGAAGAGAACAGGCAAUGAACGCAAAGAAAGAUGCAGAAGACAACAGAGAUGUGAAUUUCACUGGAAAUACUGCUUUGGCACUGAAAAACUCCCAGGGCCCUUCAUGCAGAAGAACAUGAGAAGAGUUUUGCUGGAUCGGACCAAAGGCCCCAUCUAUUUUAGCAUCCUGUUAAAACAAUGCAGAGAGCCCUCUGCCUUGCAGCUGCUAGGAUACACAGAUAUACUGCCUUUGGAACUGGAGGUCUGAUACCCACCCAAGCUGACCGGCCAUCACUACUUCUGGGGGUGGGUGGGUCAAGAAUCCUAGUUUUUACUGCAUUGUAUACAAAAUUCUUCCUUUUGUCUACAAUAAUUCUACCAUGAUCCAGUUCCCGUAGUAACCACAGGUUUCAUGACUAUAAAUAAAGAAGGAUGAGAGGAAUUGAUUUGUGGUAAUUCUCCUCAUCAUUUCGCAGGAUAACUCCAUGUUUCCUGAGCAAGGGACAAUAAACUGAUUUCAAGAAAUCAACUGACAUAGAAUCACAGAAUAAUUGAGUUGGAAGGGGCCAACAAGGCCGAAGAGUCCAACCCCGUGCCCAAUGCAGGAAUCCAAUUCAAAGCAGAUCUGACAGAGGGUAGUCCGGUUUUCUCUUCAUUGCCUCCAGUGCUGGAGCACUCAUCACCUCCUGAGGUCAGGGAGUCCAUUGUCGUACUGCUCUAACACUUAAGAACAUUUUACUGAUUUUCAGUCUGAAUCUGGCUUCAUUUAACUCGAGUACAUUAUUCUGUGUCCUGCACUCCGGGGCAACCCAGAACAGAUCCUGCCUCUCCUAUAUAGACCUGCUUUCAAA